rnacentral:tRNA from 1 species
UGGGAGAUCGUCUAAUGGUAGGACGGCAGGUUCUGGACCUGCUAGUGGAGGUUCGAGUCCUCCUCUCCCAGCCA